CCCUCACUAUGUAGACUGGUGGAAGAAUUUAGGGCCCAUGCAGAAGGUGUGAACCCUAGCAUAGAACUACAUGAAAAUGCAAGGCAGCGAGCCACUCAUGUCAUCCGGUUUCUGGAAUUCAUGGCAGACCCAGCAAUUCCAAACGUUGACCUUCUGUUUCUGAGGAACCAUGGAAAAGUCCGUGAUUUUCUAGCACACCUGCAAGCAAAAGGGUUUAAACCAACAACUCAGAGAGCUUAUCUCAUGGAUGCUAUUGCUUUCAUGAAAUAUAUAUUAAACAUGUCACCACCACAAGUCAGACUUGGAAAUAAAAGGAUCAACGCCCUUUUGGUCGAACUGAGGGCACGUAACAGAGAUGUUGGCCGUGAAGUAGUCGUGCACCAGCUGAAUGUGCGGAGAUCUAAGUCUAAAAGACUUGUCAAAGCAGAAAAACAUGCUUUGUUCA